rnacentral:rRNA from 1 species
UGGGGAAUAUUGCACAAUGGGCGCAAGCCUGAUGCAGCGACGCCGCGUGAGGGAUGAAGGCCUUCGGGUUGUAAACCUCUUUCGUCAGGGAACAAGGCACCGCUUUUUUGGUGGUGUUGAGGGUACCUGGAUAAGAAGCGCCGGCUAACUACGUGCCAGCAGCCGCGGUAAUACGUAGGGCGCAAGCGUUGUCCGGAAUUAUUGGGCGUAAAGAGCUCGUAGGCGGCUGGUCGCGUCUGUCGUGAAAACUUCCGGCUCAACCGGGGGCUUGCGGUGGGUACGGGCCGGCUAGAGUGCGGUAGGGGUAACUGGAACUCCUGGUGUAGCGGUGGAAUGCGCAGAUAUCAGGAAGAACACCGAUGGCGAAGGCAGGUUACUGGGCCGUUACUGACGCUGAGGAGCGAAAGCGUGGGGAGCGAACAGGAUUAGAUACCCUGGUAGUCCACGCUGUAAACGUUGGGCACUAGGUGUGAGGCUCCUUUCCGGGGGUUUUGCGCCGUAGCUAACGCAUUAAGUGCCCCGCCUGGGGAGUACGGCCGCAAGGCUA